AGAGUUUGAUCCUGGCUCAGAUUGAACGCUGGCGGCAGGCUUAACACAUGCAAGUCGAGCGGGGGAGGUUGCUUCGGUAACUGACCUAGCGGCGGACGGGUGAGUAAUACUUAGGAAUCUGCCUAUUAAUGGGGGACAACAUCUCGAAAGGGAUGCUAAUACCGCAUACGCCCUACGGGGGAAAGCAGGGGAUCACUUGUGACCUUGCGUUAAUAGAUGAGCCUAAGUCGGAUUAGCUAGUUGGUGGGGUAAAGGCCUACCAAGGCGACGAUCUGUAGCGGGUCUGAGAGGAUGAUCCGCCACACUGGGACUGAGACACGGCCCAGACUCCUACGGGAGGCAGCAGUGGGGAAUAUUGGACAAUGGGGGGAACCCUGAUCCAGCCAUGCCGCGUGUGUGAAGAAGGCCUUAUGGUUGUAAAGCACUUUAAGCGAGGAGGAGGCUCCUGUAGUUAAUACCUACAGUGAGUGGACGUUACUCGCAGAAUAAGCACCGGCUAACUCUGUGCCAGCAGCCGCGGUAAU
rnacentral:rRNA from 1 species